AAACUGCGAUAAGUAGUGUGAAUUGCAUUUGGUGAAUCAUCGAAUCUUUGAACGCACCCUGCACUCACUGGUAUUCCGGUGAGUACGCCUGUUUCAGUAUCAUUGAAAACACACAAUCAAAACAUUUUCUUUGGUUUGAUUGGCUUUGGGUCUAUCAAAAAGUUUGGCUUGUUUCUUACAAGCCAAGCGGCCUGAAAUAUAUUGUCUGGCUAAUUGCAUCGUUGAUGAUCGCUAUUAGACUUUGGCUUUUUUAAAUGAACUGGAGGUUGAUUAACCAGUUUUAGCUUUAGUCAAAUGGUCAUUGUAAAAAAAAUCUCGAUCUUGGCUAGGUGUUUAUAGCCGAAAAUUUUUUUUUGGCUAUAACCGAAACCAAUAUAAUCACAUUUAGUUAUCGAUCUGAAAUCAGGUGGGACUACCCGCUGAACUUAAGC
rnacentral:misc_RNA from 1 species